rnacentral:rRNA from 1 species
UGGGGAAUAUUGGACAAUGGGCGAAAGCCUGAUCCAGCCAUGCCGCGUGUGUGGAGAAGGUCUUCGGAUUGUAAAGCACUUUAAGUUGGGAGGAAGGGCAGUAAGCGAAUACCUUGCUGUUUUGACGUUACCGACAGAAUAAGCACCGGCUAACUCUGUGCCAGCAGCCGCGGUAAUACAGAGGGUGCAAGCGUUAAUCGGAAUUACUGGGCGUAAAGCGCGCGUAGGUGGUUCGUUAAGUUGAAUGUGAAAGCCCCGGGCUCAACCUGGGAACUGCAUCCAAAACUGGCGAGCUAGAGUAGGGCAGAGGGUGGUGGAAUUUCCUGUGUAGCGGUGAAAUGCGUAGAUAUAGGAAGGAACACCAGUGGCGAAGGCGACCACCUGGGCUCAUACUGACACUGAGGUGCGAAAGCGUGGGGAGCAAACAGG